AAGGGGGAAUUCCCCAUGGAACCGGUAGAAAAGCNAAGAGAUAGGAGGAANCACCAGGGCCGAAGCGCGACUUUCGGGUCUGUAACGACGCUUAGAUGGCGAAAGCCGUGGGGAUCAAACANGGAUAAGAUACCCCGUGGGUAGUCCACCGCCGUAAACGAUNGAGUGCAAAAGUGAAAGGGGGUUUCCGCCCCUAAGUGCUGCAGCAACGCAUUAAGCACUCCGCCUGGGGAGUACGACCGCAAGGUUGAAACUCAAAGGAAUGACGGGGACCCGCACAAGCGGUGGAGCAUGUGGUUUAAUUCGAAGCAACGCGAAGAACCUUACCAAAUCUGGACAUCCUUUGACCUUCAAGAGAUAGAAGUUUCCCCUUCGGGGGACAAAGUGACAGGUGGUGCAUGGUGGUGGUCAGCUCGUGUCGUGAGAUGUUGGGUUAAGUCCCGCAACGAGCGCAACCCUUAAGCUUAGUUGCGAUCAUUAAGUUGGGCACUCUAAGU
rnacentral:rRNA from 1 species